UAACAGUUUUGGUGAUAGAGAGUUUGAGCGCGCGAUUGUGUCACUUUCGUCAAAAUAAGUUUUGGUGCCAAAACUCUCCGCACACUAAAAAUCCAUUUUAGUUUUUUCCCUCUCAUUUCAAACCCUUUCUCUCUCUCUCUCUCUUUCUCUUUAAACGCUUUUCACCUUCCCUCCUAUUCUUCCUCCUUUCAAAACCCUAACUCCCACACCAAUUUUUUUUCCCUAAUUUAAAACCCCAACGCUUUCCUCACCAAAAUCGUGCCUAAUUUUUCAACCUCGUCGCUGAAUUCAAUGUGUCUCUCACUGCCUUCGCCCGCUGACGCCGCAGCGGAGCCGGUGGAUGCUCCUCCCGCACCGAAUCUCUUUCUCCAAACCCUAGAAAACGCCGAAUCGACCGUUCACGCUGCUCUACACGCACGUGAUCGCGUUCACGCUGUACGAGUUGGAGACCAUAACGAAGAGCUUCCGCGGCAACUACAUCCUCGGCGAGGGAGGGUUCGAACCGUUUACAAAGGCUACAUUGAUGAGAACGUGAGAGUGGGACUCAAAUGGCUACCUGUAGCGGUCAAAGUGUUGAACAAGGAGGGACUGCAGGGACAUUGCGAGUGGCUCGUGCAUUUUGCGUCUUGCAUUUUGCGUUUUGCGUUUUGCAUCUUUUUUUAUUUUAGUUUGUCUGGUUAAUUUUUUUGUGUGUGUGUUUUUGUGGUGCAGACGGAGGUGAAUUUUCUAGGGCAGCUUAGGCAUCCUAAUCUGGUGAAGUUGAUUGGGUACUCCUGGCACUCUUCUUCAGAUCUUUCAGGUCAUCGGAAGUGAGGGUUGGGGUGGACUCUAUAGUGGGCUCAAGCCUUCUCUUCUUGGAACUGUUGCUUCUCAGGGCAUUUACUAUUAUUUCUAUCAAGUUUUCAAGAACAAGGCUGUGGCCAUUGCAGCUGCGCGGAAAGUGAAAGGGCAUGGAAAUGGUAUUGUUGGGAUGUUUGGUUGGCUUCUUGUGGCUGCAAUUGAUGGCAUGUUUAUCUAAAACAUGUUUAUACUGAUCUUGGUGCCAGUCGUGCUUGGGACAUGAGAACAAUGGAAUCUCUUUGCCGAGCAUGUAAAUAUGCAGUGAGUAAGCUUGACCAUUAACUCAAUUCCAUUUUCACAAUGACAAUAUGUAGAAAUAAUUAAUAAUGCUGAGACAAUAGUUGGUAUUGAGUCAUUCAAUUUGGAAUAGGCAUUAAUCUUAUAUUUCCUUUUUACUGCAAUUUUUGUGUGUGGUUGCAACCCAUGUUUAUUAUGGCUUAAUCUGUCAUAUGUUCAUUAUUAUAUUCAGAUUAAAUAUUUUGGAGGUACCUACUUUGUGCAUUUAAAAAAUACUUCUUGGUUUGAAUGAACAAGAAAUGGGUAGUUCUCUCUAAUCUUCAUUUCUAGAUCAACAUUUCCUGCAUUUUUCUUGGUUGGUUCAAG